GACUCAGUGGUCCUUAUGGGUCCCUUCCAACUUGAGAUGUUCUGUUGAUUCUAUGAUUCAAACCAAGGGAUGGCAGUGUUUACUUCUAGAAAUAACCCAGCUGCGGAAAUGGAAGCUGCUUGGAAAUUCGGGCUGUCUUGUGCUGGCUGUGAUCUCCCUGAUGGGCUCCUGCAGUGAGGCCCUCCCGUGCAGAGGGAUCCCACCCCCCCGGUGAGGCAGAGGAGUGGGAAAAGGCUGAUGUGCUGGCGAAGGAGGGACAAGACCCUCCCUGCUGCGACCGCAAGAGCCAGAGCCCCCUGCCACCCACCCGAAGGGAAGACCCCACAUACAGCCCCUCAGCCCUGGUAGCGCUCCCGCGGACGGCAUGAGAGAUGAUGGAUUUUGGCAGCCACCUCCCCUUGCGUCCUCCUGGGAAUGGGUCAGAGCAACCAGGGCAAGAGCGGAGUCUGCAGUGAGGGACAUACACCUCUCCCAGACAUCACCAGUUUGCGCUUCCAUGUGUGCUCCCUCCUUUGUUACACCUGAACCCUGCGAGUGUCAGGUGAGUUGAUCAAGCGUUUGCAAACUCUAACACUUGGGUUUUUUUUUUCCAUCAGCUAACAUUUGGUAGUAGCAUUUUUAGAAAUGUUAAUUAAGCUUUGGGAGGCAGGUGAGUAUUAUUUGUCUUAGGGACAAGGAGAAGCGGCGGCAGUGUUCAGCCUGUAGCAGGGAGCCUGCAUCGCUGCCAGCCCCGCAGGUGCACCGCAGAAAGGACGCGUGCCUCUACUCACGCUCCCUACAAACAACACAGGAACGCGAGCCACCAACUCUUACUGAAAUGUUUAUUAAGAUCGAACUUCAGAACAACGGAUCGGAACACAAUGUUUUGUGGAGUAGAAUAUUUCUAAAUUGAUUUUUCUUUUCUAUGCAUAAAUGAAAAAAAAAUCAAGAUUAUACAAAAAGAACAGAAAGUGCAGAACACAAUAAAACAGUUCUCAUGCAACAAAUCUUUUUUUUAACCUUAAAACAGAAAAUAAGCUCAACAGUGUAGAAAUAAAAAUCAUACAUACAUUAUGCCGUCUACACACUCAAACAUUCAUCUGUGACAUUACUUUUCUUUAUCCCUUUUUCCUCAAAAAACAACAUUAUGUGUUUAACACAUGCUUAUAAACAUUGCUAAACUCAGCAAGAGCUAUUAUAGUGCCCCAACUUAAUAAGUUGAUAAAAAAGUAGUUGUCAUAUGGCCAGUUCACAAAGGAACUAAAUAUUCUCUCUUUUUUUUUUCCGCUAUGAGAUGCCUAUAUGCAGCUUUCUAUUAAUAUGAGGCAUUUAAAAUAAGCUGGUCAUUUAGCUACCGAAAGGGCUUAGUGUUCAUGUUACAUCAGAAA